ACUGCCCUUAGAGGCAUUGCAGGUGUGGCUGCUAUGUCGCACGUGCGUCAGUAUGGGGGCAGAGAGGAGAGAGACUAUGUCUAUGCUUAAUGUUCUGACCUGUGAACAUCUGGAUGAUCAGUAGUCUAUGCUCAAU
rfam:Mus musculus chromosome 17, GRC primary reference assembly.